UACAGAGGUCCCGAGCGUUGUUCGGAUUCACUGGGCGUAAAGGGUGCGUAGGCGGCAUGGUAAGUUUGAUGUGAAAGCUCAGGGCUCAACCCUGAAAUGGCAUUGAAUACUACUGUGCUGGAGGUUUGGAGGGGGGACUGGAAUUCUUGGUGUAGCAGUGAAAUGCGUAGAUAUCAAGAGGAACACCAGUGGCGAAGGCGAGUCCCUGGACAACACCUGACACUGAGGCACGAAAGCUAGGGGAGCAAACAGG
rnacentral:rRNA from 1 species